rnacentral:ribozyme from 1 species
AUUUAAUUUUGCGAGGUUGGAGAGAGGAAUGAAAAAGGACGAACAACAAAGAGAAGAAGAAGAGGCCAUUAUAAAUUCCUCUUUAUGUUCUCCAUCUUUCCCUUCUUCUUCCGCCACUGUCUCUCCAUCUCUUUCCCCCAAUCCCCAGUCCUCUUCCCCCUCCUCCCCCUGCC